rnacentral:rRNA from 1 species
AGGGAUGAAGGCCCUCCUGGGGUUGUUAAACUUCUUUUUAUUUGGGGGAAGGAAACCUGGUUUUUUUCUUAAAGCAGUUGACGGUACCCGAUGAAUAAGCACCGGCUAACUCCGUGC